CAACAGCAAAGGAAAAUAAUAGUAGUCGUAUUACGUGAAGAGAGAAAGACAGUUUGGUGAUAUACAUAUGUAAAAAAGAUAGAGCGACGGACAAAUUGAACAAUACACAACAAGGGCCCCCAGGGGCGUAGCAGCAGAGAGCAAGGGGGUAUUGUUUUUUUUUUUUAUGAGGAUGGUUAGUUUUCAUCGCGUAAGCUUCCAUGGUUAAGAGAGUGUUAGAGAGAAACAAAGA